UCCCCCUGCCUGCCCCGGGCCCUCCUGUCCAGUGCCCCCUGGUCUGUGAGCACAACCAGGAGGCUGGGCCAGAGCCUGCCCACAUGGUAGUGGAAUCGCUGUGGUUCCCUGCUCCCUUGGGCCCCACCGAACGCGCAGUCCACGGCCUGCAGGCUCGGCCCUCCACACCUGGGUGCCCAAGGUGUCCUGAAACGGGCCAGCUUCCUUGGGCCCACGGGAGUCCUAGCAGGAGAAGACGAGGCCUCUGAGAAGCUGACCACUGCUAGCUGGACAUCUGAGUGCCAAGAGCCCCAGGACAGUGGCCUUCCCCAGGAGUGGGUUUUGGAUGCCACCGGCCACGCAUCAGCGGUUGCUCUGUGACCCCACCAUGAGGGCAAUAUAGAUCUUGGGGCAACCCUGAGCAGCGCAGAGCCACUUUCCCCCCGAGAACUAGCCCCACCUGCCAGCUGUCCAGGCGGCCAUUCUCCACACUGAGCAGGAGAGGCCACAAGGUUUGCUUGGUCACCAUGGGGACAGGGUUCCCACCUACCCGGCAGCCGGGCCUUCGAGUGUGUGACAGCUGUCCUCUGGUCCUCUCCCAGGCUCCCCUCCAGCAGGUGGCAUGAGGCUCAUGUCCACGGUGGCUCUCGUGGAGCUCAUGAGGCCAAGGUCACAGACACGGCCUGUAGGGCUAGGUGGCCCCUGCCCUGUGUUCCAUACCCGGGCAGCUCUGGGUGCUAGGUCCAGGUCUCCCUGCCCCUCCCUCUGGCCUAGUGGGAGCCACGUCCAAAGACCUCACUACACUCUCCAGGCCUAGUGGUCAUCCCAGCCAGAAGACAGCCUUGCAGAAUGACGGAAGUGCAGUGUGCUGCCCAAGGGCGCCCCUUGAGCAAACUCCACCUGCAGGCCGGGGCUUGGGUGGUCCCUUCCGCCAGCUCAGGAGCUGGGCUCCAGGCCUCCUCCUCAUCUGUAAUUCCCAAUGCCUGUCACUCAUGCACCUGAGUGGGUCUGAGCAGGAGGCAGCCGGGGUGGCCAGCCCUGUGUGUGCAUAGUGGGGGGCAUCUCUGGGCAGAGAGGGCCAAGACCAGACUCAGGCCACACCCAUGGACCCAGCACGUUCCUGGACCCAUUAUCAGGGCCAAAUGCUUCCCAGGAUCGCAGGCUUCUGGGCCCAGCCUCCUGAAUAAAGGCUGCCCACCCAGGUGGGGAGAAGGCCCCUCGGUGACUUUAAUUCCACAUGUGCUGCCGGCGCCUCGUGGAGGCGGACUAGAGUUGCAUGCAUUUCAGGUGGUUUAACGAGGUGCCUCCAGCCCUGGGACCCUGCUCGCUGUGAGCUAGCGAGGUGGGGGUGCCCAGGCCUGCCCGCACCUUCCUCCUGGCCUGGGUGUCCCCGAGGUCAGGAGGCAGACAGGGCUUGGCAGCCGGCGACACCUAAUGGGGUGGAGGAGGCAGGCGGUGCUGAGAAGAGGCCCAUAGGCCAGCCUGCUGACCCCGCCCCAAACUGGGCCCCCAGAGAUCCCAAACAAGCAACCGCAGAGGGCUGCCCGGCCCAGCACACCAAACCAAGCCAUGGCCUCAGAGGGCAGGCCUCAGCAGGCUCCACGAGGGGGCACACAGGCACAGGCGCACCAGCCUCACUACGGCCGUAUGAGGGGUGAAGGGCACCCUCUGCGGAGUUGCCCAUGUCACAAAGCCCAGCAGGCACUGUGGGUGGUGGCAGGGGAUUGGCAUCAGCACUGGAUGGGGCAGAGACCCAGGGCCUUCUGUGCUGCAUGGUUUAGGGCACAGCCACCUCGCCACGUCCCCCGUGUCACCUUUCUCCUCGUUGUCCAGGACAGCAUUGCUCAACAGCAGAACAGUCAGCUAGCUCCCCCCCCCCAUAUUCUAACAAUGUAUUUAUGAUGGCAUUGGGUUUUGAUCAGAGAAUCUGUCCAGUUAAAUCUCCCUAUUUUGAGAUGUAUUAAGGUUCUUUAAACAAUUUAACAAAUUGUUUCAAAAAUGUCCUGUGGGCAUAAGGAAACAAAAUGUCUCCAUUAUUGGGAUCCAGAAACAGAGAUCUGGUCUGAAACAGUCCUGGCACUCUCUGCCACUCCUCCCACGGACUGGGCUUUGUGACCAGGGAAGGCAGGAAGGAUGCACGGAGGAUGUGGCAGUCUCCUGGCACUUCCACCCCCUGGAACGCUCGCUUCUGAGACCAGCUCUGAGCAAUGCAGUUUCAGAACGCUCCUGGGAAGAGGGGCCUCGUGCCAGCCCUGCUGGGCUCCUGGGGGGGAGCUUCUCACCUAGGUCUGAGCCCAGCUCAGGCUGCAGGCCGGUGACCUGAGCCCUGGUGGCUGUUUGAAGGGGGUAAAGUAGUGGAUAUCUGCUCCAUAGCUAGAUCAUAGGAACGGGUUUUUCAGUUUCCUGUUAGAGUAGGGAACUGCUCAGGAUCACAACAAUUGAGUCUCUGUCCUUGCUUUGUGUCUGCUAGAAUUGUUCUGCAAGAGGUGCGUAAACCUUCCAUGUUUAACCUGCUCUUCCCUGCACACUGGUUUAGCUUUACACAGUUUACGCUGUUAGUUGCCUUAACAUUUAUAGUUAGGCCUCCCCCCAUAAGUGGUGCCAUCCGUCAUCCACACUCAUCAUAUCUGGACUUCACUGUUGACAAUAAUGUCCUCCCUGUUUGUUUUUUUUCCUGAACUUUAUAUUUGUAUGUAGUUUCUUGGCAUAUUUUUUGCCAUCCUUUUAUUUUUCAAUAGUCAAUUAUUGGUUGGGUUUGCUUAAUUCUAUUGAACGAUUCAUCUGUUUAAAAUAAAAAUCAGGGUGGGGUGUAGCUCAGUGGUAGAGCACUUGCCUAGCAUGUGCAAGGCCCUGGAUUUGAUUCCCAGCUGCAAAACAGAAUCAAACAAACCAUGGAUACUCCUGACAUUCUCUGUCUUUUAACAGAGGAAUUCGGGACAUUUAUAUUUAGUGUACAAUUGGAUUCAUUUGAUCUGAUUCUCUUCCUUUUCACACUUGAGGUGGUACCUGUUUGGUCCUCGCGCUCUGACAUUUCUUAGUCGAUGGGUGCACUGCUGUUCCCUUGGUGUCUCAUGAGUCUGGACAUCUAACCGCACUCUGAGCUCCCCUGGUUCUCUACAGAACUGAACAAGUGCCUAUCUCAAGUCUGUUUCCCCUCCACUGACUUUCCUGAGGCUUCCUUCCAGUGGAGGAGACCUCCUGUGUGGCUUCUUUCUCCCUGCGCUUCACCUCUGUCACUCUGUGGGGAACAAAGCCAUCUCCAGCACCACUGGACAGCCAGGUAGGCCAGAGGGUCUCUGUCCUGACGUGGAGGCACAGAGCUCAGCAGAGAACGUGUUGGCAAGCAUGCGGUACAGGUGAGGUGACUCUACACUGGCAGGCAGCCUGGCUGCCCCGAGGUUUGUGUCCCCUGGAUUCCAUCAUCCUCUGCUGGUCCUGGGUCCGAGCACCCUCAGCCCCCAGCCAUGGGCUCAGGUCCCUUCCCUAGCAGUGCCUCAAAGUGGGACCAGCUUGGAACAGGGCUGCAGAUGUGCCUAGGUAAGAUGAGGUGGUGGGAACCAGAUUACUGGAACAGCGGGGGCCCCCACCCAAGAGGGCUGGUGACACCAAGGCACAAGGGCGGAGGCAAUGUACCAACCAAGGACCAAACAAGACUCGAGCAACCACCAGCAAGGGGGGGAUCUGACAGGCUCUCCCUCGUCCUACUAAGGAGCCACACUGUUAAUGCCCAGUCCUGGACUUCUGACCUGCUGGGGCAGCAAGUGGCACCAGGUUGUCACCCAGGCCAGGCCAGAGAGUGGACGAAGUCCCUGCAGAUGUCCAGAAAUGCCUCUCCCAGGAGGGGUCCCCACUGCGUUGGUGACGGCGCGCUUGCUCCUGGGGGAUGUGUGGCUUGCCACUUCCCCACACCACGGAACUCCUGCUCCGAGGAUGGACUCGGGCAGCUGGAGCAUCCAGUCCAAGGACCAGCAGUCAAAGAUGGGUGUGUGGAAGAGACACUCUGAGCAGUGGGAAAGGCAGAUGGAGCUGCCUGGAGCGCAGGCCCUGAGCCCCGAGUCACACCUGGGGCCUCUGCACACGGAGCGGCCCCCGUCAGCCCCCGACAACUUGUGGUGGGGGAGCGUGGGCCCCAGGACGGGGAGCUGGCAGGCAGCCUUGCAGUGCUCAGGACACAGCGUCCCCUUCCCGGCAGGCGAUUCCCGCCUCCAGCCGCCAAACGGACACACUUUCAGGCCACUGCUGAUGCCUCCUCACACCAUGAAGCCCACCCCCCACAGCUCCCUUAAGUGGGGCUGGAAUGGAGAGGGGGGGUCCCACCUGGAGCCCACUAAAGUGUCCUGGUUAAGAAUUUACGCAGGACUUUAAGUCCAGCAGAGCAGAGAGACUGGGGGGCAGCGCCUGGCUGGGGUGCCUUGUUCUGGAAGGGUCCCUUCAGCAGAGGCCACAGUGCUGUGCCCAGAUCCCUGUGUUUAGGGCUGCGCCGGGCGAGUCCGCAGCCCUCUCGCUGUUUACCGACGGCCGGGUGCCCUGCUCGUUCUGCAGAUCUAGAGAUUUUAAUGACAGGCGGUGAAUUUAGACAGUUUUUUUUUUCCUUUCAGGAAUGUUUUAAGGGAUUGAGAGGAAAUUGUGCACGGAUUUUGCUGUUUUAAGAGCUAAUAUGUGAACAACUUCAGAAGCACGGUGUUGUUUUAGGGCUGCAGUUUACACAGUGAGGGGGACACACACAGCAGCUUGUCCUGGGCUCUGGAGCCUGUCUCCUUGGGUUCACUCCCUGGGGAAGGGGCUGCCUUCCAGGGGAGCAGAGCUAAAAGGGAGCACCAGGUCUGAGCCCAGCUCCCACCACAUCCUGUGCAGGAUGGCUGGGGAGGGAUGUGACGCUGGGUAGCCAGCAGCAGGUGGGGGUGGCAAGGGGCUGGGAGCAGCUCUGGGGUCCCUGGGGUGGGUCCCCCUGCACAGGGCUGCCUUCUGACUCUUGGGGGCCACAUAGCCCCUAAACUGCUCAGGAAGGUCUCCCCUGGUGGUCUGUGUCUAUAUUCAGUGGGGACGUCUGCUCCUUGGGGACAAACACCUUUGAAGAGACAACCAGAGAGCCUGGCCUGCUAACGCUAGUGCAAAACUCCCCACCAGAAACUGCAGGCUUCACGAGUCCCCCCACACCCCAGGGAGAAAUGCCAAGCUCCCGCAAGACGGCGGGCGGCCGACGCCUCCCAGCUCCCUCUGAUGCACAGCCAAGGGCAGGAUGGGCAAACGGAACAGAGGCCACCCUGCGUGGCAUGGGUCACAGUCCACAAGUCUCAGCAGCAAACUGGGGAGAAAAGGAACCUAGCCUGGUCAACAGCACCUGCAGAAGCCCCACAGCGAACGUCACUCCCACGGAAAGAGCAGUGCUCUGCCCUCGCGCCAGCAGCAGGAAGGGACAUCUGCUCUCUCCUCACCCGCUGAGAGUGAAGCGGGAGGCCUCGCCAGUGCUGUCAGGGAGAAACAAGAAAUAAAAAGCAUAUGGAUUGGAAAGGAAAAAAUAAGAUUAACUUUAUUUGGGACAACAUGAUCGUCUCCAUAGAAAAUCCUAAAGAAUCUACAAAAAACAAACAAAAACAAAUGAACAGAAAUCCCUCUAGAGCUAAUUAGGUUAGCAAAGACACAGGACACAAGGUCAAUAUGAAAAAAUCAGCUGUACUUCUACAUCCCAGCAGCCAACAGUCCAAAAAUGGGAUGGAGAAAAGGCGUCACUUAAGCCGCUUCACGAGUACAAAGCACUUAGUGACAUAUCUAGCAACUUCUAUGUCCUGGGUCCCACAGGCUACAUGGCAUUCCAGGUAUAUGGUCGCAUGUUCCCAGUCAGAAAACUCGGGGAACACUGGAGCCUGUCUCCCCACCAGUGCAAGGCCGUCGGAAUCCCAGCAGGGUUUCAUUUUUUUCAUGGAAACCGACGGCUGAUUGCAAGAUUUACAUGAGCAUGUGAAGCCUGGCAGGCAUCACACUUCUGAAAUGAGCAAACUUGGAGGAUUAACAGGACCUGAUUUCAAGGCUUAGCAUAAAAGUCACAGUAAUCAGGACAGGGCUUUGCUGGCAGGACAGAUCACAAAGUCCAGAAAUCGGACCCACACACACGGCCAACUGAUUUUCAUCAAAGGUGCCAAAGUAAUUCCAUGGAAAGAAGUUGCUGGGAAGACGGGGUAACCACAUGCAGAAAGACUUGACCUCGAUCCGUGCCUGUCACCGUACAUAAGAUCAGACUUGAAAUGAAUCGCAGAUCUAAACAAGAAAUGUGAAACUGUAGGGUUUUUACAGAAAACAGGAGAGAAGGCUUUGUAACCUUGGAUUAGGCAACUAUUUCUUAGAACACAAAAAACAUGAACCUUUCAGGGGAAAAAAAAAAAGCCUUGAUGAAUUGGACAUCAUCAAAAUUAAAAACUGCUGCUCGUUUGAAAGAUCCUGUUGGGAAAAUGCAGAGAUGGAGAUUGGGAGGAAAUAUCCACAAACCGCAGAUCUACAAAGACUCGCGUCGACACUGCGGCCCCAACUCCCCCAGCUCGGAACCAGGAAGGCAGCACCCCGCGGUUGGGCUCUGAGUGCUUGGUGGACCUGUGAAUGGCACGUGUGCCAAUUAGUCCCUGGGGUGCAGAGGGAGCCCCCACACGAGGGCCGAGACUCAAGACGCAGACAACACUCAGUGCUGGGGAGAGUGUAGCCGCCUCGGCGCCCGCUCGCAGGCCGCCGGCGAGGGCACGGCGCCCACAGCCUCUGCGCAGGCAGCUUGGCAGUUCAUCGGGACGGGAAGCGGCCUGGCCACAGGAUCCAGCAGCCCCGCUCCCAGGCCCCGGCCCAAGAGGAAUGAAGACAUGAUCACUCCAAGACCUGUGCGCACAUCCUGCAGCCCUCGUCACGACAGCUGGACGGGACGGCUCAAGUGUCUGUCCGCCUGUGAACGGAUAAACAAACUGUGGUACACUUUAUCCUCUCCAAACAAAGGAAACAAACUACUGAACGCAGACCGUGACACAGAGGAGCCCCACACGAGCCGUGCCAAGGGGUGGGAGCCAGGCUCGGGGUGCACGCGGCAGAUUCCAACCUCAUGACGCCGGAGAGGCGGCGGGCCGCACCGUGUUCCCUGGUGCUAGGCGCCCCCGGGCGUCGGCAUUGUCUCUCCCUGGGACCCAGGGGGCUGACAGCUGCAGGCAUUUGCAGAACCCCUCGAACUGGACACGUAUCAAGGGGAGAAUGGUCAACAGCCCUGAGCCCCAAAUAGGAAGCAAUCAGAAAAUCAUGAAACCCACCUAAGACACACACACACACACACACACACACACACACACACACAACAAAUGUGCCCCGGUUGUUAAGUUGUUAAGAGUUGUUAAGAGUCACUAAGUCGAAGAUGUGGGUUUUGGAGAUUAAACACGACACCAAGCCCCUGUCUCCCCAGGGUCCUUCCCAGAAGCUCCUGGCCUCCCCCUGGACCGCCCUCGGGGCCACCAGGCUCAUGGCCCUGGAGCCGUCUCCCUGCCUGUUCCUAGGGACCUGUGAGGGGUGUUGCCUGUGUCCCCGGGGCCCAUCCCAGCAUGCCAACCAGGCCCUCCGUGGGGGUGGGUGGCAGCUCAGCCCUGCCACUUCCUGCUGCCCCUGGACCCCGGCUCAGCUGCUCAGGUGACUGCCCAGUCUUCCCCCUGUCCAGCCCUCCUGCCAUCCCUUUGACCCACAUGACCUGGGGAGGGACACCAGGCCAGGGGGAGGCAGGGGCCGUGGCGUGGAAGAACUGCAGCCAGGGUCCAGUGGCCUUCCCCCACCCGGCCAGGCCAGCAGGGUCCCUCCUGUGGGACUGAAGUGCCAUAGGAACAGCCUGGAGACAGUGAGGGCUCAGGGGUGACAGGGUGGAGGCUCGGCCUCACUGCCGGAGUGACGUCCGCGCCCCAGCCUGAUGUCCCUGGCCCUUGACAUGCAACGCUCGCCAACUUCGACUCCAAGUCAUCGUCGAGGACCUGGGAACAAGGCCACAGCCAGGCAGCCUGCCUGGAUGGGGGCUCCAUGGCUCCAGCUCCGGGCUGUCCUCCCAGGGCCUUUCCACCCCUCCCCGAGGUUCGCCGGCUUCCCUGCCUCCUAGCAUCGAGCCCAGGGCCCUGGCCAAGGUGUGUCCCAGGGCUCUGGGGGCACCAGUGAGCGGCAGCUUAGUCCUGCCACUUCCCUGCUGCCCUCGGCGGCUCCCCAGGUGGUCUCCCCACCUCCCAGUGCCAUUCCAUCCAACCUACAGCCACCAGGGAGGGGCACUGGUGAGCGGGGGACACAGAUGCUGGGUCCUGCUCCAUGGGGCUCCUGCUGGGGGGCAGGGGCCACAGGCAGGGCCAAAAGCCCCGACUCUACAGGGCCACCCACCCCAGGCGGCACAGGAAAGGGGUGGGCGAAGGGGCCAUACGCCAUUGCUGUUGGCUGCCCACCGGGCCUCUCUCAGGUAGGCCCUGGGUCCUGCGCCCGGGGAAGGGCCACACAGCACACAGCUGCCCGUGUUCCAUCCCAGCUACUCUGUGAGGAAGCUGCGCUGUGGGGAGCAGUUCCUGGAGACGCCCUGGACUUGGGCUGUUGCCAAGUUCUCUAUGAGCUGGACCCACCUCGCACUUAGCCUCCAUCAGGCUUCCAAGGCACCCAAGGGCAUGGGUCAAACUGAGGCCCCAAGAUGCCCCCAGCAGGCCAGAGGGGAGGCGUGGGAUUCCAGGGAAGGCCAGCCAAGGAGAGGUGCCCAGCCCAGGGCCCCUUGAGGCUGGGAAGCCCCCUUCCCAGCUUCCUGUCUCCCCAGGCUCAUGUGGCACAGCUGGACAGUGUGGCCUGCUGACAGAGGGCCACCACACUGUUGGGGACCCAGAGCUUCCAGACCAACACCGUCACCAGAAUCUGCCCCCUGGGCCUGCUUCCUCAGAGGAAGUGCCGUGGCACUGACCCGGAGCCAACCGAGAUGAAGAAACCAGGUCCUGCCCGGGCGCCCACACCUGUCACCAAACAUCCUCUAAAGUGCUGUUUUUCCAACCGGAGCAGCUCAGGGGCGGGGGCUGCGAGCGGGAGACAGGGCCCCUUUGUUCACUGCCACCGUGUCCUUGCUUUGCCCCGGGAUGGAGGCAUCCCCCUCAGCAAGUCCAUGUGAGCGUGCGCACGUGCAGCUCCUGCCCAGCACCCCACGCACAUGCCAUCACGCGUGUGUGCGCCCAGGAGCACGGUGCAGGCUGCCCGGGGCGCCGUCCCCAGUCUCCCCAGCCUCCCCACCCGACACCUCUGGACCCGCUCAGGAGACUCCCCUAGGGAUCGUGAGCUCCAGAGGCGUCUCUCAGGACACCCCGCUGCCCCUACAGGUCUAGAGAAGGGAGUGGAGUGGAGCGGCUGUGGGGAGCUUCCUCUGUCCAACGUGGAGCUCUCAGACGGCCAGGCGGGCCCAGCUAGCGGCAGCAGGCGCGUCUACCCUCCCUGGGUUGCCAUCUUGGUGCAGAUCCAUUUCUCUGUUGUGUUUUCUUGAGAAACAAAAUCUGGCAGAAUCAGCAAAAGACCUUGGCCCACCUCCCUGGAAGAGCUGGAUCUGAGGUGUGCGUCCUGCCUCCAGCUCUCCCAGGUCCAGGCUGCUGGACCUCAGAAGAGGGGUGCCGAACCCUGGUGGCGGAUGCAGGGCCCCUGCUCUGGCACCAAAACCCGAGCUGGAAAGCAGCCCAGCCCCUCUUCCUCCUGGACCCCCCCACAGCAGUAUCUGGUCCUUCACAUUCCCACUGAGACUCCAGACACCUGCAGAGGACACCCUGCACCCCGUCCUUGUCACGUUCUUAACCAGGUUUACACAGCAGCACUUACAUCAUUGUAAUAACGUGCAGAAAUAAAACGACUCCAACUGCC